GGGCGAUUAGCUCAGUUGGCUAGAGCGCCACCUUGACAUGGUGGAAGUCAGAGGUUCGAGUCCUCUAUCGCCCACCA
rnacentral:tRNA from 1 species